rnacentral:rRNA from 1 species
CAACCUUGCGAUCGUACUCCCCAGGUGGUUCACUUAAUGCUUUCGCUUGGCCGCUGACAGUAUAUCGCCAACAGCGAGUGAACGUCGUUUACGGAGUGGACUACCAGGGUAUCUAAUCCUGUUCGCUCCCCACGCUUUCGUACCUCAGCGUCAAUAAUGGUUUAGUGAUCUGCCUUCGCAAUUGGUGUCCUAUAACAUAUCUAAGCAUUUCACCGCUACAUGUUGUAUUCCAACCACCUCAUCCAUAUUCAAGAACUUCAGUUUCAAUGGCAAUUCUCCAGUUAAGCUGGAGGCUUUCACCACUGACUUAAAGUCCCGCCUACGUACCCUUUAAACCCGAUAAAUCCGGACAACGCUUGGACCCUCCGUAUUACCGCGGCUGCUGGCACGGAGUUAGCCGGUCCUUAUUCGUAUAGUACCGUCAGCUCUCUACACGUAGAGAGGUUUCUUCCUAUAUAAAAGCAGUUUACAACCCAUAGGGCAGUCUUCCUGCACGCGGCAUGGCUGGAUCAGACUUUCGUCCAUUGUCCGAUAUUCCCUA